UCCCAAAUCAGUUACAUUAUUCGCCCUAAAAUAAAUUUAGCUAAAUAUAUUAAUGAAAGAAAAGCAAGAUAAAUUCAUGGAAGAUAUCAUCCGAUUUAUUGACGGAACGUUAUUAAAGUUUUGGCACGUGAAUCUCCGUCUUCUGCCAUCUUUUCUUUUAUUUUUGUCUCCUGCGUCCCUCUCUUUUGUAAUUCCAGCAACCAAUUAAUUCUUCCCAAAGCUGCCGUGUGGAAUAUAUGUAUGUAUGUGAAUUAUGGCAGUCAAAAUUUGAAUCCCAAGAACUCCCCAAAACUGAUGUUUUAUGCGUAUAGCUAUUUAAUUCAGCAAAAGGCAGCCUACAAUUUCCUCCUCUCCGUUUCCUAUGCUAUUAUUAGAGCCGCAAUAAUUUACUCCCUAAAGCUGCAGUCCAAUUUUCUCCCAGCAGGCUGUCCCUCUCAAUUCUGCCGCAGAAAUUUAUUUUCCCCAAAAAACUCUCUCCCACGUUUUCUGUUGGUUGCUAUGUAUAUAUAUAUAUUAUAUAUAAAAAAACCCUAGG
rnacentral:lncRNA from 1 species